CCACGGUCCGGCGGCGCGAGGCGGUGUCGCAGGUAGCACAGACCCAUGUAGCCUCCCUGGAGGGCCACACCACUGAGGAUAAAGUCGUGCUUCUGGCAGGUUCUCCCCUGCCGGGUGAAGCCAUCCUGGGUCAGUGUGGGGUAGAAGCUCUGGCCACCCUGGAGAUGGUUGGCCGCAUGCUAGGAGGUGACUGGGGCCACAGAGGCCAAACUGCUGCCACGGGGCUGUUUACGAUCCUUAGACUUGUUUGCCUUUCACAAUAUCUAAUAUUUUUUGCUUUAAUUUACAAUAUCUAAAAACAGGCUGAUUUUGUAUUUAAAGUACAGUAUCUGCUUUUGCUUCAAAAAUUGGGAAGAUCUGGUGACAGUGGGCCUGCGUUCCCACAUAGCAAGAGUCCACCCCAGCUGAGUAAUGGCUGCUCCCUUUGGAAGGUUUUACAGUUUGCUGCAGUUUCCACUCCUCCCUCCUCCACUCCUCCAAACCAGUAUCAGUUACCAUUUAUCAUCAGCUUGAGCUGUUGUUUCUCUUAUAGUAAAGAGACGUGAACUCUCUUUUUGUACCUAUGUCUCUGUCAAAGUGGGAAAACGAAAAAUGGAUCAAGAGCGCUGCAUGUUUCAAGAAAAGUGGGAACCAGCAUAUUUCUUUGUGGAAGUUAAGAAUAGUCCUGUGUUUAGUAUGUAACCAGACUUUGUAUCAAAAGAAAACAACUUAAGACACCAUUAUGAAACAAGCCAUAAAAAAAAAAAAAAAGAAACAAACCAUAGUCAGAAUCUUGAUUGGUAUAUGGAAAAGA